AUCUUCAGCCAUAUCACUCUGAAUGCACUGGAUCUCCUCUGAUCUGAGAAGCUAAGCAGGUACAGGCCUGGUUAGUACUUGAAUGGGAGAUCACCUGGGAAUACUUGGUGCUAUAGGCU
ensembl:rRNA 5S_rRNA 5S ribosomal RNA